UGGGGAAUUUUGGACAAUGGGCGAAAGCCUGAUCCAGCAAUGCCGCGUGUGUGAAGAAGGCCUUCGGGUUGUAAAGCACUUUUGUCCGGAAAGAAAUCCUUGGCUCUAAUACAGUCGGGGGAUGACGGUACCGGAAGAAUAAGCACCGGCUAACUACGUGCCAGCAGCCGCGGUAAUACGUAGGGUGCAAGCGUUAAUCGGAAUUACUGGGCGUAAAGCGUGCGCAGGCGGUUUGCUAAGACCGAUGUGAAAUCCCCGGGCUCAACCUGGGAACUGCAUUGGUGACUGGCAGGCUAGAGUAUGGCAGAGGGGGGUAGAAUUCCACGUGUAGCAGUGAAAUGCGUAGAGAUGUGGAGGAAUACCGAUGGCGAAGGCAGCCCCCUGGGCCAAGUACUGACGCUCAUGCACGAAAAGCGUGGGGGAGCAAACAGGAUUAGAUACCCCUGGUAGUCCACGCCCUAAAACGAUGUCAACUAGUUGUUGGGGGAUUCAUUUCCUUAGUAACGUAGCUAACGCGUGAAGUUGACCGCCUGGGGGAGUACGGUCGCAAGAUU
rnacentral:rRNA from 1 species